rnacentral:rRNA from 1 species
CCUACGGGAGGCUGCAGUGAGGAAUAUUGGUCAAUGGCCGGAAGGCUGAACCAGCCAAGCCGCGUGAAGGACGAAGGUGCCAAGCAUUGUAAACUUCUUUUGUCAAGGGACAAAAUCAGGCUCGAGAGCCUGACCGAGGGUACUUGAAGAAAAAGCAUCGGCUAACUCCGUGCCAGCAGCCGCGGUAAUACAGAGGAUGCGAGCGUUAUCCGGAUUUAUUGGGUUUAAAGGGUGCGUAGGCGGGCUGUUAAGUCAGCGGUAAAAGUCCGGGGCUCAACCCCGGCGAGCCGUUGAAACUGGCUGUCUUGAGAGGGCGAGAGGUAUGCGGAAUGCGCAGUGUAGCGGUGAAAUGCUUAGAUAUUGCGCAGAACUCCGAUUGCGAAGGCAGCAUACCGGCGGCGAUCUGACGCUGAGGCACGAAAGCGUGGGUAUCGAACAGGAUUAGAUACCCCUGUAGUC